UUGCGGACAAUACCCGCCUACACGACAAGAAAUAAAUUUGUUAUUGACUCGUCGCAAAUCUUCGAGAUAUAUUCAUUCACGAUUCGUCGCGAUUUCUUCAUUCUUUCUUAACUAUGCGAUUGGCAGUUCUUACGAUGCGUCCGAUUUGAAUUAGCGCACACUCCAAGAGUUGAAUCGUAGUAUUUUAUUCAGCGUACGCGACGCAGGUGACGAUUUCAGCCGUCAUUCUAACCGGAUUGUUGAAAAGACAAUAUUCCGUUUCAGUCACAGCAAGCUACUCCGUCAUUAAAGCCCUGUUUACACCGUCGAAAUGCAAUCGGGACAAGAUGGAAUUCCGACAGAAUAUUCAUUUAGUUAUCGUAUUGCGGGUGUUUUUGCCAGCCUUACGGAUUAACCAUAUCACCACGGGACGGCAGCGCGGCAAAUUUCGACGCCAUCGCUACCUCAGUCUCUCCUGCAUUAUACCGAGCGUUAUGCUGAACACGCCUUAUUUACGGCGAUGGCUCCCUUUUUUACGCAACCGCGUAGAAGAAGAAAGGUUUGACAAAAUUGUGGACUAGCUGGGGGUCGAGUUCAAACGGCACGCAACUUUUGGGGAUAAAAUACGCAAAUUCGAAAUAUUUUCGGAGUUACAGAAGAAAUAGUGAGCAAGCGUCGAGCAGGUAUACGAGCGGUUUUUUGAAGUUUUCAACCAGUUUUUUGAAGAGUCUGAACCAGUUUUUUGAAGUUUUCAACCAGUUUUUUGAAGAGUCUGAACCAGUUUUUUGAAGUUUUGAACCAGUUUUUUGAAGAGUCUGAAGGGCAACUCUAUGGACCAGGAAUCGCUGAUUAGCAUAUUAAUGCGAUGGAAAUUGCGACCUGCACCUUUCCCGCCGCACGACAAAUGCAUACUCGAGACACCUCGGUGAAAUGCUUGUACCAGGCAUAAUAUGACAUGUAUCCUAAUGAAAAAAUUCGAGAAGACUGUUGAAAUACAUAACAAUAAACCCUGAAA
rnacentral:misc_RNA from 1 species